GAACUUUGAAGAGAGAGUUCAAGAGUACGUGAAACCGUUAAGAGCCAAACGGGUGGGACCUCGAAGGUCGAACCGAGGGGAUUCAGCUCGUCGGCCAAAGCCGGCUGGGCGGCGGGAUUCGCUGAUGCGACCCAGGAACUCUUGGGCGUGCCCCCGUCCAAGCCGGCGCCGGCGGGCGUAUUUCCCCUCGUGAUGUAGGUCGCCGCGACCCGUUGCUGGGGACGUCGAAGGCCCGGGUGGACUGGUACCCCGACGUCGUGCGUUCGCGCCGACGAAGGGGGAAACCUCCGGUGUCCUGGCAGCCCUGCGACGGUCGAGCAGCAGAGGGGCAACACAUCUCCCUCUCGCGGCGUGCAAAAGGUCGGUGACCCACCCGACCCGUCUUGAAACACGGACCAAGGAGUCUAACAUGUGUGCGAGUCAUUGGGCGCACUAAACCCAGAGGCGUAAUGAAAGUGAAAGGGGGGCGUCCCGGGGUCUUCGGGCCUCGGUCGGCGCCCUCCGGGGCCGAUCCCCGACCGCCUGUUGCCGUCUUCUGUUUCCCAUCCCAAAGCGAGGUCAAGGGGGUGCGCGGGGUGAGUCCCUUUCUCCCGCGCCACCUCCGGCUUCGUGGGUGCAGGGCGCGCGCGACGGUCCGGCUCCUUCACGGGAGUCGCUUGUACGCAGGGGGGCGCAGGCCCGGGACUUGCCAUUCGACGCCGUCGCGCAAAUCUGUUGUUGGCCUCGCCGGCUUUGCUUGGGCUCUCGGUUGGCGCGCCGCGCGUCAGGCGGGCUUUGGGUGGGGGUUUCGGCUCUCACUCGGGUUCGUCCCGCGCGGUUUUGCCGUCCGAUCCUGCUCUGUCCGGAGUGGCCUAGCGCGCGUGCUGUCGGCAAGUACCAUGAGCAGACAUGUUGGGACCCGAAAGAUGGUGAACUAUGCCUGGCCAGGAUGAAGCCAGAG
rnacentral:rRNA from 1 species